GGCUUCGUAGAUCAGCGAGAUUGCUCUCAUCCUACUCCGAUGGAAAAGGCACGCUGUUAGGAGAGAAACGCGGGUUCGACUUCCGCCGAAGCCG